rnacentral:misc_RNA from 1 species
UCCGAGUUGACCCCGGCAGUCUCCUAUGAGUCCCCGCCAUCACGCGCUGGCAACAUAGAACGAGGGUUGCGCUCGUUGCGGGACUUAACCCAACAUCUCACGACACGAGCUGACGACAACCAUGCACCACCUGUGCACGGCCCUUACGUACCCACCAUCUCUGGAGGAUUUCCGUACAUGUCAAGCCUAGGUAAGGUUCUUCGCGUUGCAUCGAAUUAAGCCACAUGCUCCGCCGCUUGUGCGGGUCCCCGUCAAUUCCUUUGAGUUUUAGCCUUGCGGCCGUACUCCCCAGGCGGAACACUUAUCGCGUUGGCUUCGGCACAGGGGGAUUCGACUCCCCCCACACCUAGUGUUCAUCGUUUACGGCAUGGACUAC